rnacentral:rRNA from 1 species
GACGAACGCUGGCGGCGUGCUUAACACAUGCAAGUCGAACGGAAAGGCCCUGCUUUUGUUGGGUGCUCGAGUGGCGAACGGGUGAGUAACACGUGAGUAACCUGCCCUUGACUUUGGGAUAACUUCAGGAAACUGGGGCUAAUACCGGAUAGGAGCUCCUGCUGCAUGGUGGGGGUUGGAAAGUUUCGUCGGUUGGGGAUGGACUCGCGGCUUAUCAGCUUGUUGGUGGGGUAGUGGCUUACCAAGGCUUUGACGGGUAGCCGGCCUGAGAGGGUGACCGGCCACAUUGGGACUGAGAGACGGCCCAGACGCCUACGGGAGGCAGCAGGGGGGAAUAUUGCACAAUGGGCGGAAGCCUGAGGCAGCAACGCCGCGUGCGGGAUGAAGGCCUGCGGGUUGUAAACCGCUUUCGCCUGUGACGAAGCGUGAGUGACGGUAAUGGGUAAAGAAGCACCGGCUAACUACGUG